rnacentral:sRNA from 1 species
ACCUAGCCCCGAUAGCAGUGAAAAUCCUUUCUAUUUUUAAAGAAAAAUAGAAAGAUUGCAAUGGAUAGCGGGAAAUUGC